rnacentral:lncRNA from 1 species
CUCCUUGAAAACCUCUUUCUUUUCAUCUAGAGGUAUUCAUUUGAUCUAAAGAAAAGAGUCUCCAUCAGCCAUCCAGAGCCUUCAUCAUGAGCUUGCACUCUCGGAAAGGAUGAUCUGUUCGAUGCUUCUAAUGGACUAUCUAUAAAGGUCGGACAUGCUGCGCGACUGCUUGACAUUAGGAAGGACCUCCUACUACAUCCAUCAGUAGUAUAGAUCAAUGAUUCACGAUCACGUAAUGGGUUCUAAACUCAUCGGAUCAGAUCUAAGUGUUGAUCUGGUUCAGGGC